AGCAUGUGGUUUAAUUCGAAGAUACACGAAGAACUACCUGGCUGACAUGGUAGGAACCUUAAGAGAUUAGGGGUGCUAGCUUGCUAGAACCUACACACAGGUGCUGCACGGCUGUCGUCAGCUCGUGUCGUGAGAUGUUGGGUUAAGUCCCGCAACGAGCGCAACCCUCGUCCUUAGUUGCUAACAGUUCGGCUGAGCACUCUAGGGAGACUGCCUUCGCAAGGAGGAGGAAGGUGAGGACGACGUCAAGUCAUCAUGGCCCUUACGGCCAGGGCUACACACGUGCUACAAUGGGGCGUACAGAGAGCUGCGAUACCGCGAGGUGGAGCCAAUCUCUUAAAGCGUCUCUCAGUUCGGAUUGUUCUCUGCAACUCGAGAACAUGAAGCUGGAAUCACUAGUAAUCGCAGAUCAGCUAUGCUGCGGUGAAUACGUUCCCGGGUCUU
rnacentral:rRNA from 1 species